GACGGAGGGUGCUAGCGUUGUUCGGAAUUACUGGGCGUAAAGGGCGCGUAGGCGGCUGCUCAAGUCGGGUGUGAAAGCCCGGGGCUCAACCCCGGAACGGCACCCGAGACUGGGCGGCUCGAGACCGGGAGAGGUGGGUGGAAUACCCAGUGUAGAGGUGAAAUUCGUAGAUAUUGGGAAGAACACCGGUGGCGAAGGCGGCUCUCUGGACCAAGACUGACGCUGAGGCGCGAAAGCGUGGGGAGCAAACAGG
rnacentral:rRNA from 1 species